UAUUAAAUGUAAGUCAAUAUUCCCUGGAUAUUGAACACACACAAAAAAAGUAGUUCUUUUCCCCCUUCACAUUGUGAACACUAAUGAACAGAUUUACUUUGUUUUUUCUGCCAGCUCACAUCAUUCCAAGUUUUAUUUGCAUUGGUAAUACAGAUGCUUACAAGUGGGCUCGUUCAUAGUCUCCUCUGAACUAACCAUCAUGACAUCAUUACCUAUCACCAGACACCAAGGCCAGAUCUUCUAGGUCAAUCUCUCUACGUAUGUGCAUUGCUUGUUCCUUUGCAUUACUUCUUUUUUGUAAUAUAGCUGAUAUUCCAGGAGCUGACUCCCAGACCCUUUUUGCCAGCAAUGACUUUCAAGGACGAGAUUCUGCUGCCCAUCUCUUGCUGAUAGAUGUAGCUGAAAGACCUGUGUGGAAACUUACAAAAUCAAGAGGCCUUUCCAGCCAAACUCUCGGACAUGGGAGCAACUGUAGAUGGCGUCAGCGAUGUGGAAAUUCGGCCUCCGCUCAAGAUGUAUUUGACUAUGUUCCAAUUUCAAGCUGAUUUUGUCUGGAAGGCCCAAGGGGAAGUGACAGACCUGUGAACAGAACUCAUGAAUUAAACCUGAGCUUGGUCUACCAGUUCUCUGUAAUCAAGCCCCACGAUUCACUCAUGGAAAUCAGUGCUUCUUAAACUCACUGAAUGGCAGACACCUCAACAGACACACAUCUGUGGAUUCCCAUAGCUCCUUUAAAAGUAACCAUCAGGAAGCAAUUAGUGACUGCAUCUGUCUCCAACAAUCAAGGUAUUUUUCUUUUCAUUUCUUGUAUCUUCACUUAGGGAAUGUGUAAGGGAUCGUCCUCUCUAAAUGGUGCUGUUGCUUGGAAUGUACAAACUAUGCUGAUUUGUGAAAGGGUCCCAGGCUUAAACAGCAGGAAAGCACAAAUAAAACUGUACUCAAAGAAGAAGAAUCUAAAUGUCUCAGAAGAGGAAAUCAG